CAGUCGCCACGGUAAUACGUAGGUGGCAAGCGUUGUCCGGAAUUAUUGGGCGUAAAGGGCUCGCAGGCGGUUUCUUAAGUCCGAUGUGAAAGCCCCCGGCUCAACUGGGGAGGGUCAUUGGAAACUGGGAAACUUGAGUGCAGAAGAGGAGAGUGGAAUUCCACGUGUAGCGGUGAAAUGCGUAGAGAUGUGGAGGAACACCAGUGGCGAAGGCGACUCUCUGGUCUGUAACUGACGCUGAGGAGCGAAAGCGUGGGGAGCGAACAGGAUUAGAUACCCCUGUAGUCCCUGUCUCUUAUAA
rnacentral:rRNA from 1 species